GUGGAGUGGAGGACGCGUACAACGCAACAAACGGGGCAUAAAGAACACAUGCAAAACUCCAAAACCUCUCUCUGUUUUAGCUUUUCUUUCUUUCACCGAUUCGAAUUUCAUCUACAGUUCUCCUUCUCUCUCUCAAAUUAGGGUUUAUGCUCUUCUUUUGGUCACUUUGGGACUAAAAUUCGAUCGAUGCUGUUGCUGUUAUCACCGACCGAAAGCUAUGCAAUGAAGCGGGUACCAUCGACUGAAUUACUGAAAUAGUUGCAGGGAAUGGGAGGUUGUUGUUGUUCUUCCAGGAAACCUCAUCUUCAUGGAGCACCUGUAUAUUACUAUGUCAGUAAAUCUUCAUCUUCUCUGGCACUGUGCUUCCCUAUCUUUUUGCUUUUGUAAUGCUCGAGCAACUUUUGCUAUCAUAUAUAUAUAAUAUCUGAUGUUUAUGUUGCAUGAUCAUGGUUUCUUGCUUGGACUGGAGUUGAAUGGCCACUUGGGGAAAGUGGAAGUCAAUAAUGUAAAACCCUUUUAAUUUCAAUAUUUUCUUAAUCUCCCUAAUUUGGAUACAGAAUGUAUGAUUUUUUGUUUAGAAAGUCAUAGAAAGUUCAGAAUUGUCUAUAGCUGAUUGAGGGUUUUUAGAUCAUAAUCAUUACUUGGGAUGUCAAUUUGUUAUCAUUAGAGUUCAAAAUUGCAAACGAAUGAUAUUUGGUUUCUAUGAAAAAUAAACCUCUUAAUGUAAUGUAAGUCUGAAACUAUAGCUUUCUAUUUUCUCAUGCCCUUGCACCAGCUAUGCCGUGCCAUUGUGUCCAUUCGUUGAAUACUUCCUUUUUUUCCCCUCCUCAUCCCUUUGUCUCGUUCUUGUGUGUGUAUUAUCACGAUGAAUGAUGGAUGUGAAUUGCAACCCUCAGAAUUGGACAUAACUAGUCUUUUAAUGAGGGGACAUAGGGUUUGGCAUGGUUUUACAUGAUUUGACCAAUUGUACAAGUGGAAAUCUCUGACCUGGCUAAUUAUUGUGAAAUGGAGUUCAUGGGAAUCGUUUGCGCAACAAAAUGUCAUUCUUGAAAUCUUAAACACUUUUCUGCAGUGUCCACCAGCUUUGGAAGAGCGUGAAUCCUUAACAUCUCACAAUGGUGCAGCCUCUGCAUUCGCUGCAGGUCUCCUAGCUGAACUGAAUCUGAAUACAUCAACUCCUGAUACUUUCCGGUCUCCUCCUGCGCCUUUGCCGUAUGAUGUGGUUUUGGGAGGUCCACGAUCAUCAGAUUCUGAAUCUGUUAGAGAAACAAUUAGUGGCGGUAGUUUUGAAACUUUAGCAACAUGUGAGGAUCUUGAGGAACCGGAUUGCAAGACUCUAGCAAGUUCUUUGCCCGUCUCACCAAAGAAGCCAGAAAUAUCAAAAUUAAAUGAAGCUAUCAUUUCAGCAACAGAGGAAGAGGAUGCUUGUCCCAUCUGUCUUGAAGAGUAUGACACGCCGAAUCCAAGAUUUUUGACCAAAUGUGAACAUCAUUUUCACCUGUCAUGCAUUCUGGAGUGGAUGGAAAGGAGUGACACCUGCCCCAUUUGUGAUCAGGUUUGCCUCUUAGAAAAUGACUCUAACUGCAGUGUUUGAUGAAUUUUUAUAAAUGUGAGAUUAUAUAUGUAUUGUAGCCUUCCUCAACAUAAUUAUUUAUCAUAACCCUUUUCAUAACACUUCCUUCUCUUCUUCUUAAUAAAUCACUUUGAUAUUUCUUAAAAUGUGGAAGUAAAAUGAGGGGAAAAUAUCUUAUUACCGUUACUUUCUAGUGAAAUGAUUGGUACUUGUCAGUAUCAGUAAUUGGUAGGGCUGAGUAUUCGGUUUGAACCGAACCAAACCGAAUCAUCAAAACCGAAUUACUAUAUUUUAGAAACCGAACCGAACCAAACCGAAAUGAAUGAAAAACCAAACUGCUCUAUUUUGGUUCAGUUCGGUUUGAAUCGAUCGUUUUUGAGUUUGGAUGGAUUUUUUAUUUAGACUUGAUUUUCA
rnacentral:misc_RNA from 1 species